rnacentral:rRNA from 1 species
AUGGAUCAGUGUGCGUCCAGGGUGCUGCCAAUCAUCGACGAGGGGUCGGAGUUGGAGUCGGAGACGGGGUCGUCAACGGAGGGCGUGGCGCCCGAGACGACGACGAGGAAGGCCGCGGCGGCGGCGGCGGCGAGGGCCAUAGCCGAGCGCAGGAAGGCGAUCGUGGCCAGGAUGAGGGGGCUGCUCCGGCGCGCCGUCGUGCAGUCGUCCUCGGCGGCGGCGACUCAGUCCAAGCUCCGCUCCUCCACCGUGGCCACCGCCAAGAAAUGGAAGAGGGUGGUGAGCUUCAAGAGCUGGGACCAUCAGCGGCGGCGGCAGGCCGUCCACGGCAGUGUCGACGGCAUGAGCUCCGCGUCGUCGGUGUCCAGCGCCAGCAGGAACAGCCUCAGCAGCCGGGACGCUGCCUUCCCGCGCUCCCCUCCACUGUACACCACCGCGUAUAACCAUACGAACAAGAUAUGCUUCGAAGAGAUCAUGGCGAUGGAGCAUGAGGCUCACUGGAUCACCACGGAUUCCGACUUCGUCGUGCUGGAGCUCUAG